CAGCAGCCGCGGGAAUACGUAGGUGGCAAGCGUUGUCCGGAAUUAUUGGGCGUAAAGCGCGCGCAGGCGGAUAGGUCAGUCUGUCUUAAAAGUUCGGGGCUUAACCCCGUGAGGGGAUGGAAACUGCUGAUCUAGAGUAUCGGAGAGGAAAGUGGAAUUCCUAGUGUAGCGGUGAAAUGCGUAGAUAUUAGGAAGAACACCAGUGGCGAAGGCGGCUUUUUGGCCUGUAACUGACACUGAGGCGCGAAAGCGUGGGGAGCAAACAGGAUUAGAGACCCGCGUAGUCCCUGUCUCUUAUACA
rnacentral:rRNA from 1 species